UUUCACCCCACCGGAACUGUUAGAGGUCAAGAGACCACGGGAGAGAGCUGGUGCUUCAGCCGAUAUUGCUGAACAUCAGCAACAAGAUUCUGGCAUGCAUUUGCCGCUGCCCAGGAGUCUUCUGCACCGCGUUGAUCCAGUUGGGCUGUCCACAUCGAAGCCCGCGUGGAUAUGUUGAUAGCGCGUUGUUCCUUUUGUCUUCACCCUCAAGAAAGGAAGACACGGUCAGAUUUACUUCAUGCAGAAGUCUCCCGAUUGAGCCUUGUAUAUACCCUCUGAAACUGUCGUACGCAGAUCGAAGGAGCCAACCGACCGAAAGAAAUGAGCAGCUGGUUGAUGAAGAUGAGGAGGUCGAUGCAGAUGCCCGUGGAAGCGGAGGGGAAGGCGGAGCUGUUUUGCGUCGUCUUCAGCGUCCCGUGCCCGGGAGAUCCACCCGUGCAGGGAGAUUAUGUGGAAGAACGUGUGCACCAAAGCAUCAAGAUCUCUGGUUACGGUCAGUUUCUCUUGUCACCGUGCCUUCACUUUCUUUUUUGCGAGGGAUUUUUGUUCACUUAUUUUCUCCUCUAAAUAUCGUUUUUUUUUCAGUUCUUGACGCUAAAUAGUUCUACUUACAUAGUACUUCUGCAGAGGAAUGGUACGUAGGUAUGGAUACAUGGCUGGCUAUCUAGAAACUCUUUUGCUGUUGGUGUAAUUUCCUAACAUCACUCUCACCUUAAGCCCGUGCACCCAAACCACGUCUCCAGAAACUUCAAUCUGUUCUUAACCCCAAACACAAAUUGCAACGGCGAGGUGUUUAGUUUCUUAGUAGUUGACUGGGAGAAGUUCUUCAUGGCCGAGAUCAGUUCGAACUCAUGAUCUCAUCCAAUUUCAAUCCCAUUUCUUCCGGUUAUCGACUUUGGCUGUCGGGAUUUUUCUUCGUGAAGAAGAAAAUAUCACGUAUGUAUGGCGCGGCCGUGCGGUGGUGAUCGCGAGCUUCAGAGCUCAGACUCCACUCCAGCGACUUGGUCCCUGUUCGAAGACGCUUCCGCUCCCUUCCGGAUCUACAGUUAAAAAAUAAGAGAGCUCAGGUUUUUCAGUUUCGCAGAUUCUAGGAGCUGAUGGAUUACCAAACAGGGCCUUAGUCAACGGCAAGCCACUAGAACGGUGAGGCUGUCACGAUGUUGGUGAGGUGAGAUCGUGUGGAGAUCCGUGCGUAUCCAGUUCAACCCUCCUUUUUCAUCCGGGGCAACUCUCCUUGUAUACGGUCACAAAAGUCAAAAUAAACUCUUGUUAAAGACAGCUUUUUUUCUAAAAAGAGGAUUACCUCCGGCCUGUGCAUCAAUACGAUGCAUGCGAUCCCUUUACAGACAGCUUAUGGCAAGAGCUCUUUUUUUAGUGUUUCAUGCCAAGAGUUUUUUUUUGAGUGUUUUAUGCUAAGAGUUUGAUGAUGAUGAUGAUGAUGAUGUGUGUGUGUGUUAGGAAAGAAACACUUUUAUUUUCACACAAAAUAUUAUUACUUUCUUUCUAAAUUACUUGUUUUACAUUUGUCUAGAUACAGAUGUAUCUAACACUAAAACGUGUCUAGAUACAUCUGAAUCUAGAAAAAUCUAAUGCAAGUAAGUCAGGACGAAGGGAAUACUUAGAAUGAUCAUAGGUCUGGCAUACCAACUUUCUAUAACUUAGCAAAAAAGAACUGGCUGAGUUUACAAAAUUAAUGUAAACUCCAUGUACACAAUCUUCCUUUCUCUUCUAGGAGGAAGGCUUCCUUCCUCAAUCUCUGCCGGUGAACCCGCGGAUUUGCCUCUCCUUUGCUCGUCGCUCCGGCGGUCGGUGGCGGAGAGAAGAAUGAGAAUCCUAGUGUCUCAGUUUCGGCUAGUCGAUAUUAUAGGGUUUUCUCACAAGGAUGUUGUUUUUAUCUUUAAGUCGGUCUUUCGUGCUCUAAUCCUCCUUGAGUGCGUCCGUUGGGGCGGAGUAGAUGCACCUCUGACUUAAAUUCUUGCCAGCACCUUCGGGCGAUGAAGUUAGGAUUUCUGAUCCUACACACAACAAUGAGAUUUGGUGCCUGGUUCUUCAGGCCGAUUCAAGGGUUCAACAAUGAUGACUACGCCCCGUGCGCUGUUUUUUAUGGAUACGUGCACAAAGACUUUUGGUUGUCAUUAGCAAGGUCAAGCUGACUCCAAUACGAGAGCAGGGAUAGUGACUUAUUUUGCCGACGAUAGUGGUUGUUAUGUGGUCUAGAGACCUCGACGUAAAUUUUAUUAUAUUUAGGAUGUUUUGUACUUAUGAUGAACCUUUAUAGAUAUCCACUGAAGACUUACCCACAUAAAUUUUACAAAAUAAUACGAUGAGUUGCAACCUGCAUGAAAAAUGAGGAAAUCGGAAUCCUAACCUGUAUCACUAUCAUUUUCUUAUUUUUACCCAUGUCACAAAUAAUCAUAUUAUUUCACAAACACUUGCUUGAGCAAAUUUCAUGUUUCUUUUUUACGAAACAUUAUUUUUACUCGAGGGCAAUGGUAGGCCCACUGGAAAUCACAUUACGCAUGACUGUAUUUUCAUGGAAUAUGCCUUCAUAUAUUAAUGCAUGGUGCAUAUAAUGAGUAAUAUCAGUAUAAACUUACCUUUCUUAUCCUGGCUUGUAUUCGGUUGACCAUGAUCCUUGAUUGCAGUGAUAGAAGGGAUCUAAUGUAAUUAAUUUCUCGUUGAUCGUACCAUGCGGUAGGUGUAGUCCGCUGUAUGAAGUUGAUGAGUAUUUGAAUGAUAUAGAUUGUCCUGUUAAGAAAAUGUAUCAUUAAUCAUGCUCAUCUUUGUUUUUUGCAAGUGGACUCCAAUCCCUUGGCCCUCCUCUUUCUCCUUGACUUGUUCAUAUAGGAUGUGUGAUAGACGCCAACAAAGUCUUGUUAAAUUAAUUUGAUUGUUGGAAGAUAAGCAAUGGCAUUGACACAUUGUACACAAUCCUAGCGGUAACAACUGAAGAGAGAACAUCGAUCAAGCGUACAAUCUCUUUACACUUGUUUGCGACUAAUAGUAUCCUCACUGCACCAUUCCUUAUCACUAAUAUCUGCUUGUGUCCUAUUUCUUAUAUCUUCAUAUGAUUAACAACGCAGAAUCUUAUUGCCACUUAUGAAUCCUCACAUCAUAAACCUACUACUUUCUGAUGCAGAGGCCGGGGGUUAUCCUCCUUUUCGAAAGAAAAAAAACAUCAUAAACCUACUACUUUCAUGCAUUUAAUUUUUCCAAGCUACUACUAUCAUGAGCUCAUCCAAAACCAUUCCAGAAAUAUUGGAUGGGGAAAUGUGGAUACAAAUGUUUAUUUAUAUGACUAGUCUUCCUAUUGCUAGUGAUAUAUCAACACUAUAUCAUGCAUCAGGCUCAUAUUCAUGAACAAAAUCACGAGACUGAGAUAAAUUAAGUCGAUGCUCUUUGGCCAAAGAGCCAAUUUGCGAAAUUAUGCUAUGAUGAUUUUUUCUUGUGAGUUUAGUGUCAUGUUUGAAAAAAUCAGUUACUAUUUAAAAAGCUACCAAUGUACAUCGUACCACACAGUAAAAACAUUUUUCUAGUAGCAAUAAUGAGAUUAUAAAGCCAUCUUCUAUUGAUCGAUUAUUUUAAGACCAUAUUCUGAAACAGAAAGCAUGUUAAAACAAUUUAACUAAUCAAAUUUAACAUGAUCCACCAAAAGUCAAAUGCAGCUAAGAGCCCUGUUCAAGAAUUCAUCCGAUUAACCAGUUAACUUGCCAAUUAAUCCCCACUCAUAUGGUCACCGAGUACCCGAUAAACCGAAAAAUUGCCCGAUUAAUUGAUUAAAUGGCCGAUAACUUGUCGAUUAGCCCAUUAUUCCCCUACUCGCCAACCAACCGAGCAGUUACCAUUUAACAAUUUCCUCAACAAUGGCUAAGAGUAUGAGUUGGUCACUUAAUUCUCAUUAGUGUCCAGAGAGAAAUAUAUUGCAGAAGACAUUAAUUAUUUAUUUUCCCAAUUAUUUUGUAUACAACUAAAUAUCCUUUCAACACUUAUUUUCAUGUUUGCCUCAUAAAGAAUCUGAACAUUGCUCUUACUAUGACUGAUAUGUCAAUGAGUUCUGACUAUUUGUUUGUGUAUAUCCUCACCGAUAUCAAUUGUAUUGUACCUAUGGUUAUGAGCUGUGGGAAUGUCUUACUAAUGCUUCAGGAUCCAUUAUCCUUAUUUUGUCUAUCUUAACUUUUUGUGUUGUCUAAGUUUUGUCUAUCUUUUUUUUUCCUAAACAUCUCUCCAAGCGCCUACGUACCUUACAUAUCCCAAAUUUUCUUAAAUGGGGGAUGAUUGUUGUCACUUGAGAACAAAUAAAAGGUACAAAGCGGAAUUUAUUUGUCAAUCUUAGAUGCCAAGAUAAGUUACUACACAUUAUGAAAGUGAUUCUGUUCUGGCCUUUAGGGGCUUCCAUUCUAAAAAUAAAAGCAAGGCAGCAAGAGUAUAUAUAAGUUUCCUAUGGAGACGAGUCAUCUAGAUUACUUCAGUUACUGAACUGUGCUCUACCAUGAAUCUGACAUGUAGGUAAAGGAUGAUAUUUGAUCGCCAUUAUAAUAUAGAAGAUUCACUUCCAAGAAUAAUGGGCUCACAUUAAUGACUUCUUGUUGUGCAGCUUGUAUUGCCCUAAAGGAUUUUGAUAAACUCAAAAUGAUGUAUGAAGUGGACUGGAAGGAGAAGCACAGGAUCAUUUUUCGGCACAAAAAGGUGAUAACCUGUUUCCUCUGAAUUGUAGAUAAACUGUGAGUGGAGUACAUGAAUUCCUUUGAUUAUUUUAUUGAGUGAAUUUUAUUUUUUACCCCAUAAUUGUACAUUUGUGACACUAAUUACCCACAUCGAGUGAAAAUUCGUCUAGAAUACACCUUUUGAAAGUUCUGGACCCUUGUUUUCUGAUGUUUGUCCAUCAGGCAAGGUGUGACGUGACGUCCGAGGUCCAAAAAUAUAUGGACGGACACGAGGAAUGGAACGGAUAGACAAAAGAAGCUUGUAUAUGCUCGUCAAUGAUGCCCUCCAAUUCUUAUAGAUUCUUUUACGAAUCAAUAACGCACCAUGCCGAUCCUAUCUAUCAUAAACAAGGAAAAUGUAAAGUUAGGGUAGAACCGUGUUAAAAGUUUACAAAAUCUGAUAUUUAAAUAGAAGUUCCGUUAAUUGGGAUAAUGUGUGUUCCAAAUGUACAACUACAAGGUAAAAAGUGGUAUUCACUCUGUUUUAUUUUGUGAAUUUGAAUCACCCAUGGUGCUGUCCUUGUAUAAUAAGUUAAAAUUUUGAAUCUGAACCUGUUGAUUAGUACCACCUGUUAUCCUAAGCAAUGGUAUAUCCUGACUCAUGUAAGAAUAUUCGUUGUGUCGUUGAUCAUUGCAGAAAAAUGUCUACGCAUUGCUGUACUCGGGAGACUUACCCGGUGCCGCAAAAAAUGCGAUGAAGAAUGGUUUUGAAACGAAGAUAUCUAAACUAGUCGAUAUCAACUACCACAGGUUGGCAUCAUUCUUGUAUUGUAUUAUUUCUACCACAUUCAUUCAACCAUUGAAGCACGUUCUCCCUGCUUGUCUUCAAAACCUACGAAUGCUUAUGACUGGCUGUCUCAUCUGAAUGAGUAUAUCUCUGUGUCGUUGUUAACACUGGCUGGUAUUUUAGUUCAUUGUCAAUUUACUGGACUUGCCAGCUCAACUUUCUUUUACUGGACUUGCAGCUUUUCUGGUAAAAGCGAUGUGGAGAUUUUGACAAUCAGAGGAGCUAGGCCGGACGGCCGUGGUCUGUCCUGCGACUUCGUCGAUGUACACCAUGCAGAAUCAAUCCUCAGCAGUUACAAGACGUCUCAUGGUGCCGGAGGAAAUGCUGCUAGGGUUGAACCAAGUCCCAGAUGAAAUCUACUAGUCGGGAGCAUUUUUCAUCUUAGGUUCUGUGACUUGGUUCCCGUGGAGCAUGUGCCCGGAACGCAGUUCCCGUGGUGUCCACGGCUUGUGUGCAUUUUUUUAAGAGAGAGAGAGAGAGAGAGAGAGAGAGAGAGAGAGAGAGAGAGAGAGAGAGAGAGAGAGAGAGGAGAGAGG
rnacentral:lncRNA from 1 species